AUUGAACGCUGGCGGCAGGCCUUACACCUGCAAGUCGAACGAGUGGCGGACGGGUGAGUAAUGUCUGGGAAAGUGCCCGGUAGAGGGGGAUAACUACUGGAAACGGUAGCUAAUACCGCAUCCCAUCGGAUGGGCCGAGAUGGGAUUAGCUAGUAGGUGGGGUACAGGCUCACCUAGGCGACGAUCCCUAGCUGGUCUGAGAGGAGGACCAGCCACACUGGGACUGAGACACGGUCCAGACUCCUACGGGAGGCAGCAGUGGGGAAUUUUGCACAAUGGGGGAAAGCCUGAUGCAGCCAUGCCGCGUGUAUGAGGAAGGCCUUCGGGUUGUAAAGUACUUUCAGCAGAGAAGCGUUAUCCGCAGAAUAAGCACCGGCUAACUCCGUGCCAGCAGCCGCGGUAAUUC
rnacentral:rRNA from 1 species